UGUGAAAAAAAUAAGAACAAUAAGAAUUCUAUAAAGUUGCUCUCUUCUCUUUACUCUCUUUUCUCCUCUGUUCACUCUCAUAAUUCGAAGUCGUUACCUCGCUAGUUCUCAACAUGUUUAAAAUAUUUUAAAUGUGUUUAGUUGUUUGGAUACCCUCUCUGUAGUAAUGGCAUUUCAUUGUAAAUAUAAAAUUUAUUUUGGACAUUUUCACUUUUGUGUUGCUAUUUUAAUAGAAUAGAUUAUGAAUAUAUCAGUUUUCACCAAUAUUAAGAAGAAAUUUUAAUAUUUAAUUAUGAAUAUAUCAGUUUUGGUACUAAACAUUU
rnacentral:lncRNA from 1 species